rnacentral:hammerhead_ribozyme from 1 species
GCACUAAUGAAGAGUUCCAGAAUAGGACAAAACAGCUGUCCAGUAC